CAACAAAGGCAGGGCGAUAUUUCCAAGAAGGGCAGAGUUAAAACUCCUCUAAAAUUUUGCUGUAGAAGUCGGUUCUUUUCAUCCUUUCCCAGCAGCAGGGUGAGUUCUUCAAACAGCCCCGUAAGCUGUUGGGUGAUGGACAGGUGAUGCCAGGAGACAGGGUGUGAUGAAGUAGCAUUCAGCUUGGUGGCCACAGCAACCUUGAUUUUAACAGGCAGGUAGAUGGUGACUAAAACUGCAGGAAGGCUUCUCCUGAAGGACACUGGAGUUCAGAGGACAGCAGAUGUGACUGCCAGUCAAUGCCACACACUGGAGGAGAGGAAGUGCCACCUUGGGGAGACCAGACUCCUUCUGUUCCAGGUGCACAUGCUCCGGAGAAGGUCUGAUUUCCUUUAAUAGGAAAAGAUGCUACAGGUUGGGGAACAGAGUGUGUACCGGGGGAAGGGAAGGGAACAACAAACAUGCGAGUCCCUGAGUACUGAGGCAAAGGAGAGACAAGUCCAGGAGAAGCUGGUCUGGGUCUGUGCAGGAGGUCUGAGCCCUUCAGGCAUCCUUCUGAGAUUCUGAGACUGUCCCUCUGCUGUUUCUUCCCACUGGUGGGACUCUGCCUGUAAGUCAGGUAGGUGCCACUAGGUGGAGAAGUGUCUGGAUGACAACCUCUAGCAUGAUUUCUCCUGGGCUCUGGUAGCAGAGCAGAUAGAGG
ensembl:lncRNA